UUAACAGUUAUGAAGGGGAAUAAGGGUCGUUUAGUCCAGCAGCGAGCCGGGGAGGGUGUAAGCCCGGCGGAUGACAAUGCCUCGUGCCGCCCCGGAACUGCGGGCUCAAAAGCGCUAUAGCGCCCAUUAAGCCAUGCCGGCUGCCUCCGUUAAAGGCUCCGAGAGGAUCGUUUGCAAUCCCGGUAUGUAAUGCCGGCGGUUAAUGGGAGCGGUCAAUUAGGGUGGUACCACGAGCAUAUACCUCGUCCCUUUU
rnacentral:ncRNA from 1 species